rnacentral:rRNA from 1 species
AGAGUUUGAUCAUGGCUCAGAUUGAACGCUGGCGGCAGGCCUAACACAUGCAAGUCGAGCGGUAGCACAGAGAGCUUGCUCUCGGGUGACGAGCGGCGGACGGGUGAGUAAUGUCUGGGAAACUGCCUGAUGGAGGGGGAUAACUACUGGAAACGGUAGCUAAUACCGCAUAACGUCGCAAGACCAAAGUGGGGGACCUUCGGGCCUCAUGCCAUCAGAUGUGCCCAGAUGGGAUUAGCUAGUAGGUGGGGUAACGGCUCACCUAGGCGACGAUCCCUAGCUGGUCUGAGAGGAUGACCAGCCACACUGGAACUGAGACACGGUCCAGACUCCUACGGGAGGCAGCAGUGGGGAAUAUUGCACAAUGGGCGCAAGCCUGAUGCAGCCAUGCCGCGUGUGUGAAGAAGGCCUUCGGGUUGUAAAGCACUUUCAGCGGGGAGGAAGGCGGUGAGGUUAAUAACCUCAUCGAUUGACGUUACCCGCAGAAGAAGCACCGGCUAACUCCGUGCCAGCAGCCGCGGUAAUACGGAGGGUGCAAGCGUUAAUCGGAAUUACUGGGCGUAAAGCGCACGCAGGCGGUCUGUCAAGUCGGAUGUGAAAUCCCCGGGCUCAACCUGGGAACUGCAUUCGAAACUGGCAGGCUAGAGUCUUGUAGAGGGGGGUAGAAUUCCAGGUGUAGCGGUGAAAUGCGUAGAGAUCUGGAGGAAUACCGGUGGCGAAGGCGGCCCCCUGGACAAAGACUGACGCUCAGGUGCGAAAGCGUGGGGAGCAAACAGGAUUAGAUACCCUGGUAGUCCACGCCGUAAACGAUGUCGAUUUGGAGGUUGUGCCCUUGAGGUGUGGCUUCCGGAGCUAACGCGUUAAAUCGACCGCCUGGGGAGUACGGCCGCAAGGUUAAAACUCAAAUGAAUUGACGGGGGCCCGCACAAGCGGUGGAGCAUGUGGUUUAAUUCGAUGCAACGCGAAGAACCUUACCUGGUCUUGACAUCCACAGAACUUUCCAGAGAUGGAUUGGUGCCUUCGGGAACUGUGAGACAGGUGCUGCAUGGCUGUCGUCAGCUCGUGUUGUGAAAUGUUGGGUUAAGUCCCGCAACGAGCGCAACCCUUAUCCUUUGUUGCCAGCGGUUAGGCCGGGAACUCAAAGGAGACUGCCAGUGAUAAACUGGAGGAAGGUGGGGAUGACGUCAAGUCAUCAUGGCCCUUACGACCAGGGCUACACACGUGCUACAAUGGCAUAUACAAAGAGAAGCGACCUCGCGAGAGCAAGCGGACCUCAUAAAGUAUGUCGUAGUCCGGAUUGGAGUCUGCAACUCGACUCCAUGAAGUCGGAAUCGCUAGUAAUCGUAGAUCAGAAUGCUACGGUGAAUACGUUCCCGGGCCUUGUACACACCGCCCGUCACACCAUGGGAGUGGGUUGCAAAAGAAGUAGGUAGCUUAACCUUCGGGAGGGCGCUUACCACUUUGUGAUUCAUGACUGGGGUGAAGUCGUAACAAGGUAACCGUAGGGGAACCUGCGGUUGGAUCACCU